GGCGCUGGGAUGCACAUUCCAAGGCACACCCCGGAGAAUUAUAAAAACAACUAAUGGACCCUGCACAGAGCAUCUGUGUGCAAUUUGGGGCUGGCGGUUACCUCUUUCCCCCCACCUUCUGCCCCAGUCUCCGCUUCUGGGCCCAGCCGCCUCUCCUCCCCACCACCACUUCUGCCCCUGCACUUUCUUUCCCCCCUCCUGGGCCUCGCUUCCACGGCUGGGCCAGGCCUCCGCGGCCGUGGCGACCAAUCCUCCUGGGUGUGCCUCAGACAAUCAGGCACGUCCGCCGCCCAGCCAAUCAGCUGGGCUCUGGGACGCACAUUCCAAGGCACACCUUGGCACAUAUAGAUUUUAAUUAAAAGCCUGAGAAAAGAGGUGUGUCUCAAGGGUCUUUUAAAAAGAAAUAAGAAUGGAGAAGCUCUUGUUUUGACAGGGUAUGCAUUCCAGAGUCCUGGGGCAGCCAUAAAGAAGGCCCGGCCCCGAGCCGCCUCCAGAGGAGCUGGUGGCAACUGGUGGAGCUCCCCAGAUGAGCUCAAUAAGUGGCAGGGUUCGUGACAAACAAUUGGCUCUCCCAGAAUGCUUUAAGAAGCCCUGAGUGGCCUCCUGGAUCAACCAGAUUUCAUGUGAAUAAGGAUCUGAAUCCAUACUUCAUGCUUAUUUUGAAAUUUUCUUUCAGCUAGGAGUGGCAGUUUUAACUAUUACAUCCAUCGGCUGAAUGUGCAGUCCCAAGAGGAAGGAAGGUCUGGCAAUGUCACCAUACCAUCAGUAUCAUAAGAUAUUUUAAACUCUGCCUGAGGAUUUAUAGUCCACUGUUCAAUUUCCAAAAAUGGAACCACGGAAGUCUCACAAAGAUGACAUCUUGACAAAAGAAAGGGAAUCUACACGAAUAUAGUUUUGCUGCAACAGUCUAGCACAGCUACUUCUCUGGAAAUAAUACAUAAAACACAGCAGAUAAACAUUGAAGCAGCCAACUACUUAACAAAUUACUUUAACGGAAGAUAAAUAAAACUGAUGAAAAAACAAUA